CAACCUGCCGACAACACUGGGAUAGCCUUUCGAAAGAAAGAUUAAUACCGGAUGGCAUAGUUUUCCCGCAUGGGAUGAUUAUUAAAGAAUUUCGGUUGUCGAUGGGGAUGCGUUCCAUUAGGCAGUUGGCGGGGUAACGGCCCACCAAACCAACGAUGGAUAGGGGUUCUGAGAGGAAGGUCCCCCACAUUGGAACUGAGACACGGUCCAAACUCCUACGGGAGGCAGCAGUGAGGAAUAUUGGUCAAUGGACGAGAGUCUGAACCAGCCAAGUAGCGUGAAGGAUGACUGCCCUAUGGGUUGUAAACUUCUUUUAUACGGGAAUAAAGUGAGCCACGUGUGGCUUUUUGUAUGUACCGUAUGAAUAAGGAUCGGCUAACUCCGCGCCAGCAGCCGCGGUAAUACGGAGGAUUCGAGCGUUAUCCGGAUUUAUUGGGUUUAAAGGGAGCGUGGGCGGGUUGUUAAGUCAGUUGUGAAAGUUUGCGGCUCAACCGUAAAAUUGCAGUUGAUACUGGCGACCUUGAGUGCAACAGAGGUAGGCGGAAUUCGUGGUGUAGCGGUGAAAUGCUUAGAUAUCACGAAGAACUCCGAUUG
rnacentral:rRNA from 1 species